AAUGAAGUGCCUGAUUAAAGGAUUAUUUUGAUAGAAUAAAAAAAGUAGAAAAUUUUACCUUCAUUA
rnacentral:tRNA from 1 species